GACGAACGCUGGCGGCGUGCUUAACACAUGCAAGUCGAACGGUGAAGCGAGUGCUUGCACUCGUGGAUCAGUGGCGAACGGGUGAGUAACACGUGAGUAACCUGCCCAUCACUCUGGGAUAAGCACUGGAAACGGUGUCUAAUACUGGAUACGACCAACCCUUGCAUGGGGUGUUGGUGGAAAGAUUUAUCGGUGAUGGAUGGACUCGCGGCCUAUCAGCUUGUUGGCGGGGUAAUGGCCCACCAAGGCGACGACGGGUAGCCGGCCUGAGAGGGUGACCGGCCACACUGGGACUGAGACACGGCCCAGACUCCUACGGGAGGCAGCAGUGGGGUAUAUUGCACAAUGGGCGAAAGCCUGAUGCAGCGACGCCGCGUGAGGGAUGACGGCCUUCGGGUUGUAAACCUCUUUCAGCAGGGAAGAAGCGAAAGUGACGGUACCUGCAGAAGAAGCACCGGCUAACUACGUG
rnacentral:rRNA from 1 species